rnacentral:tRNA from 1 species
GGAGAGAUGGCUGAGUGGUUUAAGGCACACGCCUGGAAAGCGUGCGUGGCUAAUCCCCACCGUGGGUUCAAAUCCCACUCUCUCCGCCA